GAUACCGCCCUAGUUCUGACCAUAAACGAUGCCAACCAGCGAUCCGCCUGGGUUCCUCAAAUGACUCGGCGGGCAGCUUCCGGGAAACCAAAGUUUUUGGGUUCCGGGGGAAGUAUGGUUGCAAAGCUGAAACUUAAAGGAAUUGACGGAAGGGCACCACCAGGAGUGGGGCUUGCGGCUUAAUUUGACUCAACACGGGGUAGCCUACCCGGCCCGGACACUGGAAGGAUUGACAGAUCGAGAGCUCUUUCUUGAUUCAGUGGGUGGUGGUGCAUGGCCAUUCUUAGUUGGUGGAGCGAUUUGUCUGGUUAAUUCCGAUAACGAACGAGACUCUAGCCUGCUAAAUAGGCGUUCCGAUCUAUUGAGUCGGACGUUCUUCUUAGAGGGACAAGCGGCGCUUAGCCGCACGAGACAGAGCAAUAACAGGUCUGAGAUGCCCUUAGAUGUCCGGGGCCGCACGCGUGCCACACUGGAGGAAUCAGCGUGUGUUCUCCCUGCCCGACAGGGCUGGGUAACCCGUUGAACCUCCUCCGUGAUUGGGACAGGAAAUUGAAAUUGUUUUCCUCGAACGAGGAAUUCCUAGUAAGCGCGAGUCAUAAGCUCGUGCUGAUUACGUCCCUGCCCUUUGUGCACACCGCCCGUCGCUGCUACCGAU
rnacentral:rRNA from 1 species